rnacentral:rRNA from 1 species
AGAGCGAACGCUGGCGGCAGGCCUAACACAUGCAAGUCGAGCGCCCAGCAAUGGGAGCGGCAGACGGGAUAGUAACACGUGGGAACGUACCUUUCAGUUCGGAACAACCCAGGGAAACUUGAGCUAAUACCGGAUACGGUCGAGAGGCGAAAGAUUUAUCGCCGGAGGAUUGGCCCGCGUCCGAUUAGCUAGUUGGUGUGGUAAUGGCGCACCAAGGCGACGAUCGGUAGCUGGUCUGAGAGGAUGAUCAGCCACAUUGGGACUGAGACACGGCCCAAACUCCUACGGGAGGCAGCAGUGGGGAAUAUUGGACAAUGGGCGCAAGCCUGAUCCAGCCAUGCCGCGUGAGUGAUGAAGGCCUUAGGGUUGUAAAGCUCUUUCGCCCACGACGAUAAUGACGGUAGUGGGAGAAGAAGCCCGGCUAACUCGUGCCAGCAGCCGC